UGAGAGUUGUAUUGAUCUCAACAAUAACUCUCAGAGAGAAAUCUAAUUAUUGUGUUAAUAUUUUAUCAGAUGCGUGGGCGCUGUUUAUAACAGAUAGUAUUCAGUAAACUAAAAUGGGAAAGAUUUACUGAUUUGUUUUUGUCCAGCUCAGUGAACCAGUUUCUGUCUAAUUUUAAACCCAAAUGUGAACUGUUCCCUAACUCUUCAGAUAA